rnacentral:lncRNA from 1 species
CGAGGUGUGAGCAAACUGCUUAGGUCGCGAAGCAGGGAAGGCGCUCCGUGCUGCCCUAACCUGUUUGCUCCAGGGAGCAGCCACUGGAGUGGUUUAAGGUACUUGGCGAGGAGUGAAAGAGUUGGAGGAAAGGACCUAGAUACACCAAGCACCAAGCAGCACCGAAUGGCUCAAGGCUAGGCCCAAACAAAGCAGUCAGACCAGCGCCUCAGACUCCUUCCUUCUAAAGGUCACCUCGAUUCCCGACAGCA